rnacentral:rRNA from 1 species
UACGGAGGAUCCAAGCGUUAGUCCGGAUUUAUUGGGUUUAAAGGGUAGCGUGAGGCGGCCAUGUUAAGUCAGGGGUGAAAGACGGUAGCUCAACUAUCGACCAGUGCCCUUGAUGAACUGAUGGGCAUUGAAUGUACUAGAGGUAGGCGGAAUGUGACAAGUAGCGGUGAAAUGACAUAGAUAUGUCACAGAACACCAAUUGCGAAGGCAGCUUACUAUGGUAUGAUUGACGCUGAGGCACGAAAGCGUGGGGAUCAAACAGG